rnacentral:rRNA from 1 species
CCUACGGGGGGCAGCAGUGGGGAAUAUUGCACAAUGGGCGCAAGCCUGAUGCAGCCAUGCCGCGUGUGUGAAGAAGGCCUUCGGGUUGUAAAGCACUUUCAGCGGGGAGGAAGGCGGUGAGGUUAAUAACCUCAUCGAUUGACGUUACCCGCAGAAGAAGCACCGGCUAACUCCGUGCCAGCAGCCGCGGUAAUACGGAGGGUGCAAGCGUUAAUCGGAAUUACUGGGCGUAAAGCGCACGCAGGCGGUCUGUCAAGUCGGAUGUGAAAUCCCCGGGCUCAACCUGGGAACUGCAUUCGAAACUGGCAGGCUAGAGUCGUGUAGAGGGGGGUAGAAUUCCAGGUGUAGCGGUGAAAUACGUAGAGAUCUGGAGGAAUACCGGUGGCGAAGGCGGCCCCCUGGACAAAGACUGACGCUCAGGUGCGAAAGCGUGGGGAGCAAACAGGAUUAGAUACCCGAGUAGUC